rnacentral:rRNA from 1 species
UACGUAGGGGGCAAGCGUUGUCCGGAUUUAUUGGGCGUAAAGAGCGUGUAGGCGGCCUGAAAGGUCAGCUGUGAAAACUCGAGGCUCAACCUCGAGACGUCGGUUGAAACCAUCUGGCUAGAGUCCGGAAGAGGAGAGUGGAAUUCCCGGUGUAGCGGUGAAAUGCGCAGAUAUCGGGAAGAACACCCGUGGCGAAGGCGGCUCUCUGGGACGGUACUGACACUGAGGCGCGAAAGCGUGGGGAGCGAACCGG